rnacentral:rRNA from 1 species
CUACGGGUUGCUCCAGUGGGGAAUAUUGGGCAAUGGGGGCAACCCUGACCCAGCAACGCCGCGUGAAGGAAGAAGGCUUUCGGGUUGUAAACUUCUUUGACCAGGGACGAAACAAAUGACGGUACCUGGAAAACAAGCCGCGGCUAACUACGUGCCAGCAGCCGCGGUAAUACGUAGGUGGCAAGCGUUGUCCGGAUUUACUGGGUGUAAAGGGCGCGUAGGCGGGAGAACAAGUCAGAUGUGAAAUCUGGGGGCUUAACCCUCAAACUGCAUUUGAAACUGUACUUCUUGAGUAUGGGAGAGGCAGGCGGAAUUCCUAGUGUAGCGGUGAAAUGCGUAGAUAUUAGGAGGAACACCAGUGGCGAAGGCGGCCUGCUGGACGACAACUGACGCUGAGGCGCGAAAGCGUGGGGAGCAAACAGGAUUAGAUACCCCUGUAGUC